UACGAAGGGGGGCUAGCGUUGCUCGGAAUCACUGGGCGUAAAGCGCACGUAGGCGGAUUGUUAAGUCAGGGGUGAAAUCCUGGAGCUCAACUCCAGAACUGCCUUUGAUACUGGCGAUCUUGAGUCCGGAAGAGGUGAGUGGAACUCCGAGUGUAGAGGUGAAAUUCGUAGAUAUUCGGAAGAACACCAGUGGCGAAGGCGGCUCACUGGUCCGGUACUGACGCUGAGGUGCGAAAGCGUGGGGAGCAAACAGG
rnacentral:rRNA from 1 species